rnacentral:rRNA from 1 species
GACGAACGCUGGCGGCGUGCCUAAUACAUGCAAGUAGAACGCUGAAGGAGGAGCUUGCUUCUCUGGAUGAGUUGCGAACGGGUGAGUAACGCGUAGGUAACCUGCCUUGUAGCGGGGGAUAACUAUUGGAAACGAUAGCUAAUACCGCAUAAUAGCAGUUGUUGCAUGACAACUGUUUGAAAGGUGCAAUUGCACCACUACCAGAUGGACCUGCGUUGUAUUAGCUAGUUGGUGGGGUAACGGCUCACCAAGGCGACGAUACAUAGCCGACCUGAGAGGGUGAUCGGCCACACUGGGACUGAGACACGGCCCAGACUCCUACGGGAGGCAGCAGUAGGGAAUCUUCGGCAAUGGACGGAAGUCUGACCGAGCAACGCCGCGUGAGUGAAGAAGGUUGUCGGAUCGUAAAGCUCUGUUGUAAGAGAAGAACGAGUGUGAGAGUGGAAAGUUCACACUGUGACGGUAUCUUACCAGAAAGGGACGGCUAACUACGUG